UUCAGUGUGUCUUGGAGAUGCGAAGUGCGU
rnacentral:piRNA from 1 species